CCGUGAGCGGCUCGAGCAGAGGGCUGCUACUGAGUUCUACCUGGCUGUUCUGAGGAUGAAGCGUGAUGUCCUCACUGAGAUGCGCAACAACCUUGUGGAGGGGACCGCAGAGCUGGAGAUGAACUUCCUCUCACAGCCCACCUAUCUUGGAUGCGGCGCCGUAGAGUACGUCAAGUUCGAGGACAUGCCCAUGCUGCCAGAAACCACAUAGGACCCGGAAGGAGGAGUUUUGACAACUUACACCAUGUUUGAAUGCCUUUCCUUGCUAGCAGCAAUGGCAGAGGACCCCUACAUUGGCGAAGUUAUGUGUUGGCUUUCUGAAGACCGUUUACUUUGCUAGCAGAAACAGUUUUUGUUUUCUAGGCAUUUUGCAGUUCGCCUAACUGAACAGCCUGCUAGUUUUCUAGGUGUCUGAUCGUUUUUCCUUGGAUUUUAGUGGUGGCUCUCCGUACUCUUUUUUCUGUUAGGCGUGCUGGUGUUCACCACGUGAUAUCAGCCCUCUAUGCUUUGAACUCCUAUGAAUUUGUUGCUUCAAGUAAUGAGAUUAGGGCUCUUGGCCCGUUGGGUUGGGGAAAAAAUUGUUUUGCAUAUAGUAUUUUAACUUUCUGAAUGCAUGGCCAUAUCUGUCAGUAUUGAAUAGCAUAGGUAGAAAUCGUGUACAGUGCCAUUGGCAUUAUUGUGCCAUGUGUCCUUCGUUUCACUUCCGCUUUUCGUUUAGCCAUUCCACUAGGUCUUCAUUUACGUGGAAUCUGAGAGCAUAUAGAGAGGUAGGCUCAUUCCACGCUCUGUUUCAGGUUCAGCUCAAAUCGACCUUACCGUGAGAAUAUAGGAUUCACAUUUCAUCGAUGAGCAAUGCAAUGCUUUGAUCUAUAAGCAUUUCUGCAGAGGCCUAACAAGCUUGCUCAAUGGUGAGCAGCAGCCUGGCGGUUCAUCUGACUUGGAAGUGAACAAAUCUGAGUACAAGCAAAAGAAUACCUCCAGGCAACAGCUGACCGGAAGAUGGUGACCAGACUGACCACGACUAGUAUUAG